CAUAUGUUGUGUAAAUGAGUAAAAAGAGUAAAUAAAAGAAUAAAUAAGGAAUGAAUGGAUUGAUAAACACACCAAUAAUUUUCAGAAAUUGAAUACAUACAAUUCUACUUUAAUGAAAACAUAAUUAUCCAAAUUUUAUUAGUUUUUUUAAACUUAUUUUAAAGGAAACAUCAAAGUUGAAUAUAUAAUGGGGUACUGUGUAAUGUUUGGUACAUGAAUACAUUGUAUAAUAUUCAGAUCAGGUUACAUCCUUAACUCCAAACCUUUACACCAUUUCUUAGUAGUGAACACGUUCAAAUUCUUCUAGCUUUUUGAAGUAAGCAGUACAUUAUUGUUAUCUGUAGUGGAUUUCUUUCCACGUUUUCAUGUUGUCUUCAAUUUUUUUCAUAUUUAUGUUUUAUUAAUGUUUAUAAUUUGCAUUGUAAAUAUCUUUCAUCUAUUUGGUUAAAUUUAUUCCUUAGUGUUUUUUAUAGUAUGAUGAGAUUGAUUUCUUGGUUUCUAUUUCUAUAAAUAGUGAUUGAUAUAUAGCAAUGCUACUGAAUUUUGUAUGUUGCCUUUAUACUUAGCAACUUUGCUGAACUCGUUUAUCAGUUCUAAUAGGUUUUUUUUUUAAAUCUUUGGUGGAGUUUUUGGGUUUUUCUAUAUAAAAUAUCUUGUCAGCUGCAGCCAGUAACAAUUUGACUUCUUUUUAAUUUGAAUGCCCUUUAUUUAUUUCUGUUAGCUAAUUACUCUGGCUAUGACUUUCAGCACUAUGUUGAAUAAAGUGGUGAAAGUGGUCAUUCUUGUCUUGUUCCAGAUUUUAUAAAACUUUCCACUUUUCCCCUUUCAGUAUGAUGUUAGCUGUUGGCUUAUUAUUAGUGGCCAUUGUAAUGUUGAGGUACAUUUCUUAUAUGCCCCGUUCAGCACUCUUAUCCUGAAUGGAUGUGAACUGUACUUCCCAUUUGAUCAUGAUGAAUAGCUUUUUAAAAUGUGCUGUUGGGUUUGGAUUGAGGAUUUCUGCAUCUAUGUAAAUCAAGGAUAUUGGACUUUCGUUUUUCUUUCUUUUUUGUUUUGUGUUGUGUCCUUGCCUGGUUUUGGUAUCAGGGUAAUGCUGGUCUCAUAGAAUAUGUUUGUAAGAAUUCAUUUCUCUUUUCUUUGUUUUUGUUUUUUGAAACUAAGAGAUAUUGUAUUAGUUCUUUAAAUGUUUGGUAGAACUCAGCAGUGAAGCCAUCUGGUCCUGGGCUUUCCUCUGAUGGGAAUCUUUUUAUUACUGAUUCAAUGUCAUUAGUCUAUUCAGAUUUUCUAUUUUUUCUUGAUUCAGUCUUAGUAAGGUGCAUGUGAAUAGGAAUUUGUCCUCUUCCAGUUAAAUUCCAUUUUUCCCCCAAAUAUUUAAAAUCCCAUUUUAUAUCUUUCUAUAUUAUCUAUCACUUAACCUUCUAAUGUAGUUAUUAUUUUUAAUUGUUUUACUUUUGUGUUUAUACUACAGAUAUAGUUUCCAUACCAUUCUUACAAUAUUAGAGAAUUCUGAAUUUGUUUAUAUAAUUAUUCUGACCAGUGAAUUUUACAUCUUCCUGUGUU
rnacentral:lncRNA from 1 species